UGGGGAAUAUUGCACAAUGGAGGGAACUCUGAUGCAGCGACGCCGCGUGAACGAAGAAGGCUUUCGAGUCGUAAAGUUCUUUUAUAUGGGAAGAUAAUGACGGUACCAUAAGAAAAAGCCCCGGCUAACUACGUGCCAGCAGCCGCGGUAAUACUUAGGGGGCUAGCGUUGUCCGGAAUCACUGGGCGUAAAGGGUUCGCAGGCGGAAAUGCAAGUCAGGUGUAAAAGGCAGUAGCUUAACUACUGUAAGCAUUUGAAACUGCAUAUCUUGAGAAGAGUAGAGGUAAGUGGAAUUUUUAGUGUAGCGGUGAAAUGCGUAGAUAUUAAAAAGAAUACCGGUGGCGAAGGCGACUUACUGGGCUCAUUCUGACGCUGAGGAACGAAAGCGUGGGUAGCAAACAGG
rnacentral:rRNA from 1 species